GCCCGCUUAGCACAGUGGUAAUGCGUUGCACUCGUAUUCUUGUUUGAUAUGCAAAGAUCCUCGGUUCGAUUCCGAGAGUGGGCA
rnacentral:tRNA from 1 species